CAGCGUAGGGCGCAAGCGUUUGUCCGGAAUACUGGGCGUAAAGCGUGCGCAGGCGGUUUUGUAAGCCAGAUGUGAAAUCCCCGGGCUUAACCUGGGAAUGGCAUUUGGGACUGCAAGGCUUGAGUGCGGCAGAGGAGACUGGAAUUCCUGGUGUAGCGGUAGAAAUGCGUAGAGAUCAGGAGGAACACCCCUGGUGAAGGCGGCCCUCUGGCUCGACCCUGACGCUGAGGCGCGAAAGCGUGGGGAGCGAACGGG
rnacentral:rRNA from 1 species